ACGUGCAACACGUCACAAGCUGAAAUGACGUCACGCCCGCUGUAAAAUGUAAUCAUCAGAGCGUCCUCUCAACCGCUUGGUGUUACUUCUUACAGUGAGUGCGACGGCCCAAGGUCCGACCGUAAAUC
rnacentral:pre_miRNA from 1 species